UCUCCUGCAGAGAUUCUGGUGGGACUAUGAUCUGUUCAUCCAGCAUAUCAUGAAGCUUCGGCCCCACCGGACCACAUAAGAGGACCUGAGAGAAAACAGCACACUUUAGUAAACUAUAAUCAGAAAGAAAAAUAAUGAAAAAGUCAUAAGGGUUUGGAACAUCAUAAAGAGUGCUUUAACCUCUUCAAACCUCUUGACGCCCCGGAGCCAGGAUGUGGGGUUCACUGAUGGCAAACACUCGACAGCUCCAGCAUUAGCCACGGUCUGACAGAUCUGAAAAUAUCAGAGACAGACACGGAAGGUAGACAUUCUUCAUUUGAGAACAACAGUGGCAAAGGUGGUGAUUUAUGGCAAACUCUGGAUAUAAACAAGGACUAUCAUGACAGCAAACUCUGCCAGAAUCUCGGCUAUUUAUCAAGAGCAUAUGUGAAGCUGAGCUACAGAAGGCCAAGGCUGACAGCGCACACAUCACACUCUAUCUGAGGUUUAAUUACUCUCAAAGCUGUUCUAGAGCUGUGUGAAACGUCCACAACAUAAUUACACCAUCAUGGCUCAUUUGAAGGAUAACCACAUGGAAUGAUGAGAUUAUUGGUCCAGAUUUGAUUUGCACUUCAGACAAAUUUCAGAUGGGAAUGUAUUUAAAGGAAUAUUCCAUC